UACGUAGGUCCCGAGCGUUGUCCGGAUUUACUGGGCGUAAAGGGUGCGUAGGUGGUUUCUUAAGUCAGAGGUGAAAGGCUACGGCUCAACCGUAGUAAGCCUUUGAAACUGGGGAACUUGAGUGCAGGAGAGGAGAGUGGAAUUCCUAGUGUAGCGGUGAAAUGCGUAGAUAUUAGGAGGAACACCAGUUGCGAAGGCGGCUCUCUGGACUGUAACUAACACUGAGGCACGAAAGCGUGGGGAGCAAACAGG
rnacentral:rRNA from 1 species